GACGAACGCUGGCGGCGUGCUUAACACAUGCAAGUCGAACGGAAAGGCCCUGCUUUUGUGGGGUGCUCGAGUGGCGAACGGGUGAGUAACACGUGAGUAACCUGCCCUUGACUUUGGGAUAACUUCAGGAAACUGGGGCUAAUACCGGCUAGGAGCUCCUGCUGCAUGGUGGGGGUUGGAAAGUUUCGGCGGUUGGGGAUGGACUCGCGGCUUAUCAGCUUGUUGGUGGGGUAGUGGCUUACCAAGGCUUUGACGGGUAGCCGGCCUGAGAGGGUGACCGGCCACAUUGGGACUGCGAUACGGCCCAGACUCCUACGGGAGGCAGCAGUGGGGAAUAUUGCACAAUGGGCGGAAGCCUGAUGCAGCAACGCCGCGUGCGGGAUGACGGCCUUCGGGUUGUAAACCGCUUUCGCCUGUGACGAAGCGUGAGUGACGGUAAUGGGUAAAGAAGCACCGGCUAACUACGUG
rnacentral:rRNA from 1 species